rnacentral:rRNA from 1 species
AAUGAACGCUGGCGGCAGGCCUAACACAUGCAAGUCGAGCGAGCGGCGGACGGGUGAGUAAUGUAUGGGGAAUGCCCGACAGAGGGGGAUAACUACUGGAAACGGUGGCUAAUACUGCCUACUAUCGGAAAACCCAUAUGGGAUUAGCUAGUAGGUGGGGUAAAGUCACACCUAGGCGACGAUCUCUAGCUGGUCUGAGUGGAUGAUCAGCCACACUGCGACUGAGACACGGCCCAGACUCCUACGGAGGGGGCAGUGGAGAAGAUUGCACAAUGGACGCGAGCCUGCUGCAGCCAUGCCGCGUGUAUGAAGAAAUCCUUAGGGUUGUAGAGUUCUUUCUGCUGGGUAGCGUUAUCCGCUGAAUAAGCACCGGCUAACUCCGUGCCAGCAGCCGCGGUAAUUC